GAAGUCAAACAAGACCAGACAAUAAGCAAAUGCAUAAACGAUAUCUUAUCCACUGAAAACAUCUGAAAGUCCUCAGCCAUCACCAGCAAGCACUCAUUCAUUAUAUAAACACACAAGAGGGCUCAGAAUAACCCCUAGGCUUUUAACAAACCAAGUAGUAUAUAUCGAACUGGAACACAGAUCAGUUUAGAGGAGGAUGGGGAAGAGUGUGUCAUUGCAGCACCGGUAAUCUCUCUAGUCAUGGAAAAUAUAAGCAUGGU
rnacentral:lncRNA from 1 species